CCUACGGGCGGCAGCAGUGAGGAAUAUUGGUCAAUGGACGAGAGUCUGAACCAGCCAAGUAGCGUGAAGGAUGACUGCCCUAUGAGUUGUAAACUUCUUUUGUAAAGGAAUAAAACGAGGCACGUGUUCCUUUUUGCAUGUACUUUAUGAAUAAGGAUCGGCUAACUCCGUGCCAGCAGCCGCGGUAAUACGGAGGAGACGAGCUGUAUGCGGAUUUAUUGUGCUUAAAGGGAGCGUAGAUUGGUUGUUAAGUCAGUUGUGAAAGGUUGCGGCUCAACCGUGAAAGUGCAAUUGAUACUGGCAGUCUUGAGGACAGGUGAGGUAGGCGGAAUUCGUGGUGUAGCGGUGAAAUGCUUAGAUAUCACGAAGAACCCCGAUUGCGAAGGCAGCUUACUAACCUGUGACUGACAUUGAUGCUCGAAAGUGUGGGUAUCAAACAGGAUUAGAUACCCCUGUAGUC
rnacentral:rRNA from 1 species